rnacentral:snRNA from 1 species
UGACCACAUUUCAUAUACAUGAU